AUUGAUUUCAUUUUUGUCUCAAAACUAAUGUCUGUUUCUAAUUUCAGACGGAGGAGGUUACCGUUCACGGAUCAUGCCUGGAUUGAGUGUGUGGUAAAAGGUGGUGGUCUAAGUGUCUGGCAAGAAUUAUCAGGCAGAUCUUUGUUUUCUUAUGGAAUUCAAGGAUGGAGAAAUUGAGUCGUGGGAAGGUGGUGAAAAGCAGAAUGCAUGGUGGGAAAGGAAUGAUGAAUGUGGAAGUGUUCCUGGCUGUGAAGUAUGUCAGUUUUUGUCUCGCUAUUAUAUCCUGAUAUGAAGGGACAGUUGGAGGGACAGAAUCCGCUGCAAUUUAUUUUUUCUGAGGGAAAGUCAUGAAGGGAAAGCUUUUUGUUAUAUGUACAUGUAAAGACAUGAUUCCUGUAUAUAUUGUAUAUGUCAAAUAUGUGUUAUUCAUGUGUUUUCAGAUGAAUAUGUAA